rnacentral:rRNA from 1 species
UGGGGAAUAUUGCGCAAUGGGGGGAACCCUGACGCAGCAACGCCGCGUGAAGGAUGAAGGCUUUCGGGUUGUAAACUUCUUUGAUGAGGGACGAAAGAAAUGACGGUACCUCAAAAACAAGCCACGGCUAACUACGUGCCAGCAGCCGCGGUAAUACGUAGGUGGCGAGCGUUGUCCGGAAUUACUGGGUGUAAAGGGCGUGUAGGCGGGGAUGCAAGUCAGAUGUGAAAUGCCGGGGCUUAACUCCGGAGCUGCAUCUGAAACUGUGUUUCUUGAGUGUCGGAGAGGAAAGCGGAAUUCCCAGUGUAGCGGUGAAAUGCGUAGAUAUUGGGAGGAACACCAGUGGCGAAGGCGGCUUUCUGGACGAUAACUGACGCUGAGGCGCGAAAGCGUGGGGAGCAAACAGGAUUAGAUACCCUGGUAGUCCACGCUGUAAACGAUGGAUACUAGGUGUAGGAGGUAUCGACCCCUUCUGUGCCGGAGUUAACACAAUAAGUAUCCCACCUGGGGGAGUACGGCCGCAAGGUUGAAACUU